rnacentral:rRNA from 1 species
UACGUAGGGUGCAGGCGUUAAUCGGAAUUACUGGGCGUAAAGCGUGCGCAGGCGGUCUCUUAAGACAGGUGUGAAAUCCCCGGGCUUAACCUGGGAACUGCGCUUGUAACUGAGAGGCUUGAGUGUGCCAGAGGGGGGUGGAAUUCCACGUGUAGCAGUGAAAUGCGUAGAUAUCUGGAGGAACACCGGUGGCGAAGGCGGCAUCCUGGACCGAUACUGACGCUGAGGAGCGAAAGCCAGGGGAGCAAACGGG